GUAAAAGUCGUAACAAGGUUUCCGUAGGUGAACCUGCGGAAGGAUCAUUAUAGAAUAAACUUGAACGGGCUGUUGCUCUCCUAUGGUGCACGCCUGUCAUAUUUAUCUCUCCCACUGUGCACAUUUUGUAGACCUGGUGUUUGGGAACUGCUUACAGUAGUCGGCUUUGCCCUUUGCCUUUGCCAGUCUAUGUUAUUUUAUCACAAACCUCUGAAUGUUUUGAAUUUUUUAUGAUGGAAAUUAUAUACAACUUUCAGCAACGGAUCUCUUGGCUCUCGCAUCGAUGAAGAACGCAGCGAAAUGCGAUAAGUAAUGUGAAUUGCAGAAUUCAGUGAAUCAUCGAAUCUUUGAACGCAUCUUGCGCUUCUUGGUAUUCCAAGGAGCAUGCCUGUUUGAGUGUCAUUAAAGUUCUCAAAACCCACAUGGUGGAAUUUUGGAUAUGGGGGUUGCAGGCUUUUUGAAGUCGGCUCCUCUGAAAUGUAUCAGUGGUAUCUGUGUGGAACUACAGGUGUGAUAAAUGAAAUCUAUGCCUCGUCUCUCACUGUGCUGCUUCUGGCGGAGUUGGAUUGACAAAUUUGACCUCAAAUCAGGUAGGACUACCCGCUGAACUUAAGCAUAUCAAUAAGCGGAGG
rnacentral:rRNA from 1 species